rnacentral:rRNA from 1 species
UACGUAGGGUGCGAGCGUUGUCCGGAAUUAUUGGGCGUAAAGAGCUUGUAGGCGGUUUGUCGCGUCUGCUGUGAAAAUCCGGGGCUCAACCCCGGACUUGCAGUGGGUACGGGCAGACUAGAGUGUGGUAGGGGAAACUGGAAUUCCUGGUGUAGCGGUGAAAUGCGCAGAUAUCAGGAGGAACACCGAUGGCGAAGGCAGGUCUCUGGGCCACUACUGACGCUGAGAAGCGAAAGCAUGGGGAGCGAACAGG